rnacentral:rRNA from 1 species
AAGUACCCCGAGGAAAAGAAAUCAACCGAGAUUCCCCCAGUAGCGGCGAGCGAACGGGGAGGAGCCCAGAGCCUGAAUCAGUGUGUGUGUUAGUGGAAGCGUCUGGAAAGGCGUGCGAUACAGGGUGACAGCCCCGUACACAAAAAUGCACAUAUUGUGAGCUCGAUGAGUAGGGCGGGACACGUGGUAUCCUGUCUGAAUAUGGGGGGACCAUCCUCCAAGGCUAAAUACUCCUGACUGACCGAUAGUGAACCAGUACCGUGAGGGAAAGGCGAAAAGAACCCCGGCGAGGGGAGUGAAAAAGAACCUGAAACCGUGUACGUACAAGCAGUGGGAGCCUCUUAAUGGGGUGACUGCGUACCUUUUGUAUAAUGGGUCAGCGACUUAUAUUCUGUAGCAAGGUUAACCGAAUAGGGGAGCCGAAGGGAAACCGAGUCUUAACUGGGCGUUAAGUUGCAGGGUAUAGACCCGAAACCCGGUGAUCUAGCCAUGGGCAGGUUGAAGGUUGGGUAACACUAACUGGAGGACCGAACCGACUAAUGUUGAAAAAUUAGCGGAUGACUUGUGGCUGGGGGUGAAAGGCCAAUCAAACCGGGAGAUAGCUGGUUCUCCCCGAAAGCUAUUUAGGUAGCGCCUCGUGAAUUCAUCUCCGGGGGUAGAGCACUGUUUCGGCAAGGGGGUCAUCCCGACUUACCAACCCGAUGCAAACUGCGAAUACCGGAGAAUGUUAUCACGGGAGACACACGGCGGGUGCUAACGUCCGUCGUGAAGAGGGAAACAACCCAGACCGCCAGCUAAGGUCCCAAAGUCAUGGUUAAGUGGGAAACGAUGUGGGAAGGCCCAGACAGCCAGGAUGUUGGCUUAGAAGCAGCCAUCAUUUAAAGAAAGCGUAAUAGCUCACUGGUCGAGUCGGCCUGCGCGGAAGAUGUAACGGGGCUAAACCAUGCACCGAAGCUGCGGCAGCGACACUAUGUGUUGUUGGGUAGGGGAGCGUUCUGUAAGCCUGUGAAGGUGGCCUGUGAGGGUUGCUGGAGGUAUCAGAAGUGCGAAUGCUGACAUAAGUAACGAUAAAGCGGGUGAAAAGCCCGCUCGCCGGAAGACCAAGGGUUCCUGUCCAACGUUAAUCGGGGCAGGGUGAGUCGACCCCUAAGGCGAGGCCGAAAGGCGUAGUCGAUGGGAAACAGGUUAAUAUUCCUGUACUUGGUGUUACUGCGAAGGGGGGACGGAGAAGGCUAUGUUGGCCGGGCGACGGUUGUCCCGGUUUAAGCGUGUAGGCUGGUUUUCCAGGCAAAUCCGGAAAACCAAGGCUGAGGCGUGAUGA